rnacentral:lncRNA from 1 species
UCUCCCUCUGUUGUCCAAGGCUGGAGUGUAGUAGUGCUAUCGCAGCUGACUGCAGCCUCAACCUUCCAGGCUGAAGCGAUCCUCCCAUCUCAACCUCCCACGUGGCUGAGACUACAGGUGCUUGCCACUAUGCCCAACUAAUAUUUGGAAUUUUCGUAUACGUGGAUUCCAGAGGGGUGACAGCAAAACGUGGGACCAUCCAGUUGCAGGAAAACAAGCUUAACAUGCCCACUGAUUCUACAUUAUGCUCCUACCUCCCGGCAGCAUCUCCAGGCCCAGAACUUUCUCCAGUCAGCCUCUACAGACCAAGCUCAUGACUCACAAUGGCCUAUUUAGGCCCAUACCCUACCUCACGGCAGUCUCCGCAGAUGAGCCUACUGCCUCACAACAGCCUCCACAGGCACAGCUCCGUCGUUACAAUGGCCUCUUUAGACCCAGCUCCUGCCUCCCAGCCUUCUCUCCAGGCCCUGAACUUUCUCAAGUCGACCUCACCAGGCCCAGCUCAUGCUUCUUUGCAGCCUCUCCAGGCCCAGCUCCUGCAUCUUGGUGACCCCUCCAGGCACAGCCUCUGCCUCCCGUCGGCCUCUACAGUCCCAACAUCUGCCUCACAGCAGAUUCUUCAGGCCCAGCAUCUGCCUCACUGUGGACCCCCCAAGCCAAGCUCCCAACCUUUCAGCAGCUUCUACACACCCAGCUCCUGCCACCCAGUGGCCUCUUUAGGCCAAGCUCAUGCUUCACAAGGGUCUUUCCAGGCCCAAUUUUUGUCUCAUGGCAACCUUCCCUGGCCAGAUUCCUGCCUGUCUCCCAGCAGCCUAGACAGGCCCAGGUCUUGCCUCACACUGGCCUCUCUACAUCCAGCUCAUGCCUCACGGUGGCCUCUCCAGGCUCAACUCCUGUCCCAGGACGUCAUCUCCGGGCCCAAAACUUAAAGUCAGACUCUCUAGUCCCAACUGCUGCCUCCUGGUGGAUUAUGAAGGCCCAAAAUCUCCUCAAGUUGACCUCUACAGGCCCAGCUCCUGCCUCCUGUCAGCGUCUACAGGCCCAACCUCUGCCUUAUGGGGGCUUCUCCAGGCCCACCUCUUCCUCUUGGCUGGGUCUACAGGCACAACUGCUGCCUCACAACAGCCUUUUUUGGCCCAGUUCCUGCCCAGCUCCCAGCGGCCCUGGUAGACCCACAACUUCCCGAAGCCAAGCUCCCCAGGCCCAGGUCAGGCCUCACGGUGGCCUCUCCAAGCUCAGCUCCUGCCCUCCAAUGGCAUCUGCAGGCCCCAAAUGGUCUCCAGUCGGUGGGCUCCUCCACGCCAAGCUUGGGCCUCUUGGCGACCUCUGCAGGCCCAAGUUGUCCUGAAGUCGGCCUCUCCCGGCCCUGCCUCCCAGCAAGUAAGCAAGCUCUUUUGGCUCAACUACUGCCGAGCUCCCAACCGCCUUUCUAGGCCCCGAACUUUCUCCAGCCAAGCUCUUCGGGCCUACUUCCUGCCUCCCGGUGGCCUGUACAGGCCCAGCACUGGUUGGAGAACAGCCUCUGCAGGCCCCACUCUUGCCUCCCAGGGGCCUCUCCAGGCCCAGCUCUUGCCCCCACGGCGGCCUCCCGGGGCCAAGUCCCUGCCUGCCUCCCAGCAGCCCGCAUGCGGCCCAGCUCCUUCUCACAGUGGCCUGUUGAUGCCCAACUCAUGCCUCUGGCACCCUGCCCAGAGACAUGAGCCCCUGCCUCUCACUGGCUCCUCCCACGCUGAGACAGGUCAGCGUGAGCCCUUGCCUCACACCGGCCCCUCCCACGCUGAGAGGUCAGCAUGAGCCCCUUGCCUCACACCGGCCCCUCCCACACUGAGAGAGGUCAGCGUGAGCCCUUGCCUCACACCGGCCCUCUCCCACGCUGAGAGAGGUCAGCGUGAGCCCUUGCCUCACACCGGCCCCUCCCACGCUGAGAGAGGUCAGCGUGAGCCCUUGCCUUACACCGGCCCCUCCCACGCUGACAGAGGUCAGCCUGAGCCCCUUGCCUCACACCGGCCCCUCCCACGCUGACAGAGGUCAGCCUGAGCCCCUUGCGUCACACCGGCCCCUCCCUCGCUGACAGAGGUCAGCGUGAGCCCCUAGCCUCACACCGGCCCCUCCCAGGCUGACAGAGGUCAGCGUGAGCCCCUUGCCUCACACCGGCCCCUCCCACGCUGACAGAAGUCAGCCUGAGCCCCUUGCCUCACACCGGCCCCUCCCUCGCUGACAGAAGUCAGCGUGAGCCCCUUGCCUCACACCGGCCCCUCCCACGCUGACAGAGGUCAGCGGGAGCCCCUUGCCUCACACCGGCCCCUCCCACGCUGACAGAGGUCAGCCUGAGCCCCUUGCCUCACACCGGCCCCUCCCACGCUGACAGAGGUCAGCCUGAGCCCCUUGCGUCACACCGGCCCCUCCCACGCUGACAGAGGUCAGCCUGAGCCCCUUGCCUCACACCGGCCCCUCCCACGCUGACAGAGG